rnacentral:lncRNA from 1 species
AGAUGAGUGGGGAAGUUACAUUCCUAUGUAUUCAUUUUCCUAGUGUUUGUAUUUCUGGAGUCUGCUCCAGAUUUUGAGUCUGUCUCUGAUACACUUUCUCGUUAAUAUUGAUGAGGAUAUUUUCUUGAACUGUGAGGUUUUCAUCCCAUCUAAUGCCAAUCCAAAACUACAUGAAAUUCCAUGUCCAGUUUUCAGUACAGAAUUUGAAUGUUGAUCCAGUCUGCCUUAGCAUUUCAUUGUAAUUAAGUGAUUUAAAAGAUACUAUCAUUUACAUCUGAAGAUUCUAAAGAAACACUGAGAUAUUUGUACAAAUAUGAACCAUCUCUGUUGUUACUCAAUGCUAUCAUAAGUACACCUGAAAUUAUACAUUGCUCAUAUCCCCUACCAAAAUAUAGGAUGUCAGCAAUAUAAGUCAUAUAAAGGCAAAGAUUUUUGCUUUACUUUUCAAAGCAUAAUGCCUUCAAAUAGUGGUUAUCCAAUUAAUAACUAUUGGUGGGAUGCAUUUUGCAUCAUAGAUAUCUUAUUUCUCAUUGUUUCCUCUAGUAACAUUGAUUUAAUUUGAAACCUAAGAAUAUCAACAAGAGGAAAUGUUGACAAUCAAAAUUAAACUUUUGUGGGAGAACAAGUUUGCAGUUUUGUUUUUUGUUUUGUUUUGGUUUGGUUUGGUUUUUCGAGACAAGGUUUCUCUGCGUAAUAGCCCUGGUUGUCCUGAAACUCACUCUGUAGAACAGGUUGGCCUUGAACUCAGAAACCCGCCUGCCUCUGCCUCCCAAGUACUGGGAUUAAAGGCAUGCGCCACCA